ensembl:lncRNA
UUUUUUUUUUUUUUUUUUUUUGGUGAUACAGAGUCUUGCUCUGUCGCCCUGGCUGGAGUGCAGGGUUAGGAUCUCGGCUCACUGUAAUUGUCUCCUGGGUUCAAGCAAUUCUCCUGCUUCACACUCCUGAGUAGCUGGGAUUACAGGCAAGCACCACCAUGCCCAGCUAAUUUGUGUAUUUUUAGUAGAAAUGGGGUUUCACCAUUUUGGCCAGGCUGGUCUCAAACUCCUAACCUCAGCUGAUCCACCUGCCUUGGCCUCCCAAAGUGCUGGAAUUACAGGUGAGAGCAACCGCACUUGACCCUAAAACAGAUUCUUACUUGAUUGAUUUCCGAGUUCCAAGGGGAAAUACAAAAGUCGAAAUUGAGAGAAAGUAAAAGUGGAGUAAGGCUUCAGAAGGCUGUGAUUGGUGUUGGAGAAACAUUGCUAGGGCAUAAAGCUGAGAUAAUACAUUCUGAGAAAUCCCACAGUGUUUAUCUACAGGUAGAAAUCAUAUUCCACAUGUGGGCAGAGUCAGGGAUCCCUGUGUUUUAAAAUCAGUGAGGGAAUUGAAUAUCUGGACUUGUGUCAAUUAACAUACAAAACUCAGUGCUUUUGAUGUUCUCAUUCACAAGAUAUCUGUGUUCCUUCUUUGUCAGAAACCAUCGUCAUAGGCUUCCUAAUUUUGACCAUGGGAAAAGAGGAGAGGCCUGGUGUUUGUGUUGUUGGUGUGGUGCAGAGUGCAACCAAGGCUUAGGACAGUGGCCACACAUUUGCCUUAGUUUAGGUAAAACAAUGCCAGGGAAGAAUUGUGUACAUAUGAAACAGUGUGUGUAUGCUUGCGUGUGUGUGUGUGUGUGCGUGCGUGCGCGCAGGCGAGAGCACACGAGCGCUAGCAAGCACGCCCGCGUGAGUGUGUCUCUGUGUGUGUUUAUGUCUGUGUGUGUGUGUGUUUGUGCUGGGAUGUACUUCCACGUAUGUGCAUUUGGCAGAUACCAUCAUCCUUUCGGCGACUGAAGGACAGGAAGUCGGACGUGCGCUUUCUGACUUGAGUACAGUCAAGGAAGUACAGUAAUUAACACAGCGUAUUUGCUUCCUUAAUAACAAUGGAGGGAUCCGAGGAAUCCAAUAGACAUUGCAGCCUCUUGAUUUUUUCCAUGUUCAGCCUCUUGAUUCUAUAUCCCAGUGAAAUGACUUGCCAAUGCGGAACAAGAUAAGUUCUUUGCAGGAAGUGUUCUGGUGGGAGCUAGAUACCCAAAUUAUAAAGCAUCGAGUGUUGGAAACAUGCACUGAAGUUAGACGAAAUACUGAGUGCACAAUUUAGACGGUGAAAGUCUUUCGGGUAAUCAUGUGAUCAUCGAGAGGCUGAUUGAUGACAUUCCCCGAAUUUAUGAUUGCAAGAAGAGAGAAAUACUCAUGACAUUCUAUUUCCGGUGGUUGGGGACGUACGAAGGCAAUUGAAGAAAUCAUGAAAUCAAGAAACUUGAGUAAUCGGAAGCUAUGCCAACUAAAACCUUCGGUUCCUUUAACAAAGGAUGAAAAUAAAAACCACAUAUCACACAGCAUGGGAGAUGACGUUUUCAUAUGUAUGUGAUAAUGGAUCAACAUUUGAGAGAGAUGCAAUAAAAAGUUGUAAAUUUGACAAAAGCAAACAACCAGAAUUAAACACUGGAAAAGCCUGGGUGACGGGAGUGGGGCGCCCUGUCUCAAGAACAAACAGAGAGAUUUAAAAGCAGGGAGUGGAACAGAGGUUUGUACACCAUUGUUACUACUGGCCCUUGUUUCAGGAGGAAAAGGCGAAAAGAAGGCUUUUAUCUCAUGGAUUCUUGCAUGGAUUGUUCAGGAUCUGCGAUGUUGCCUCCGUUUCCAGUUAGGCAUUGUUGCAAAAUUUAAAGCUGAUGAACAUAGACAUGAUCCCCAAACUAGGAGGGGCAGAAUUUGGGUGUGUCUUCAGGUCCUUUGGCUUACCAGGAAUGAAGAUCCUGGCUCCAGGGAUUUUGUCCAAAUGUCUUAGAGAGUGAGAAACGGGGCAGAUUUUAGGCCCGGCGCCAAGGCCUCGGCGAGGUGUAAAGAAACACGCUGGCCUCAGGGCCCAUGAAAUCAGGAUGAUUUUAGGGAGGAUGGUGGAAUGAGAGGACUGUGACCUUUGGCCCCGUUUCUUUCCAUUGUCUUUUCAUGGGUCAGGUGUGUUGAAUCAGAAGGCUUCCCGGGCCCGAUGAAAUGAGUCCUGGGGGAGGAAAGAAGCGCUGCGUAGAGCGUUGCUCCACAGGGAGAAAGGAGCCACCAUUUUCAGGAGAAUGAUCCCCAGAAGCAUGAGCAGUCCAGAUGCCGUGGCUUCACACAAGACGCUGGUGGGUGUUAUGUCUGAAGCGGGGACCUGGGCGUCGGUGUUCUUUCAUGCUCAUAACUGAUUUUCAGGUGAGCCCAAUGGAUCACCUGUCUGCCAGUCAUGCUCAUCACACUGUACUUUGCACACACGUCACACAGAGACACUGUUAAUACGCACAUUUGUGUGCUUGAGCAGGGUUGCACCCAAGAUUCUGUGGUUGUAUGGAGCCCUGAGUUAUGCCCUGGACAUCUUUCCUCUCGGGUUGGUCAACUUGGAUCGCUGUACCGAACGAGAAACGGAGCCCGAAAUCCAAUCAGCGAAUACACAAAAGGAAGGGGCCAUUUCCCACAAUCAUUUCCACUGCAACACCACCUCGGAUGAACAAGUCUCAUUGCAGGUCAGGGACUGUGCUUCAGAGAUGCACCUUUCGCAGCUGGACGAUUGACCCGGAAUCUCCCAAAUGCCAUUUUGAUACACACCGAAUGCGAUUUAUUUCAGUGCUUGCUGAUUUUAUUUUAGUUGAAUACACACACGCUCCUGCGUUUGAUUUCCUUUAUCAAUACGACUUACUUUCAAAUGACUCACAUACCAGUGGGAUGAUUUUCUGCUUCAAUUCAUUGGAAAUGGACACCAUUCAAUAGGCAAGUGUGUCUGUCUGUCUGUCUCCAGCAUUCUGUGGGUUCCACCAAGGGCACAAGUCCUAGGGCGCCUGACGUCCAUUCAACAAGUAAUGUAAAAACGGCGAGGCAGGUUCAAAAGAAGAACACCCUUCCUCUCUUCAAAUGCGUUCCAGUUUCCACUACUCAAGGUAGGGAGAAGGAUCCACAGAAGUCCCACGUUCGCAAAAUUUCAACUUCUGGUGCUCACCAACAACUGACGAAUGAAACACACCCCAAGAGAAAAUAGUCAACCCCGUCCCCUGCAAUAACCUCUCACGCAACCCUAUACUGCAAUAUGUCAUAUUCAGAAAUUCACACUGAAUGACACCUACCGUGAACACAAACACACAGACAAUCCCUCCACAGGUUCACAAGACUCACGACUGCAAAACUCGAUGUUUCCCAUGUCUGGGCUCAUCCUGAAACGCAGCCAUCACUAUCCAGUUGUCCCUCUUGUGUAGACAGAAACCUGGGCUCCUCAUUACUUUAUGUCGGAUUGACUGUGUAUGUGAUGGUGUGUGUGUGGGUGUGCCGCGAACCCCCUCGUGGGUGUGUGUGUGAGUACGUGUAUGUGUGUGUGUGUCAGUGUGUGUGCGCAUGCACUCCUGCGUUUGCAUGGAGACUUUUCCUGAGAUCACUGGCACACAAACAGAGCCCUCUUGCUGUGUUUGUUCCUCCCUUUGGAUCUCCUGGUCCUCCCUUGCAGAGAAGUGAGUGUGCCAGUGUUCAUGGACUCCUGAGGUGUCAGGUUCCUUGAAGAGAGGUUCAGCAGGGAGCUUUGCUGUUCAGGAUGACGGUUGUUCAUCCCACUCUUGUAUUUUGAUGGAUGAAUCACAAGCACGUUGGGAGGAAGGGUACACUCGACUUUUCUGACGUUGAAGUCAGGCUUGGUUUUGUUUUGCUCUUGGAGGAACUUCCAGUGGUCUAAGGUGCUUUCCUGAGUGGCUCUUUCCACCAAGUGCUCCUCCAAGUCGGGUACCUGGAGGCAGGGUUCUCUCUGGAGCUCUCCUUGCGUUGCUCGCCUGUCUUUGUGUUCAGCGCCAAGGGCUCCUGGUUCCCUGCCUAUUGACACACUC